rnacentral:rRNA from 1 species
UACGUAGGGUGCGAGCGUUAAUCGGAAUUACUGGGCGUAAAGCGUGCGCAGGUGGCUGCGCAAGUCGAGUGUGAAAUCCCCGAGCUUAACUUGGGAAUUGCGCUCGAAACUAAGUGGCUCGAGUGUGGCAGAGGAAGGUGGAAUUCCACGUGUAGCGGUGAAAUGCGUAGAGAUGUGGAGGAACACCAGUGGCGAAGGCGACUCUCUGGUCUGUAACUGACGCUGAGGAGCGAAAGCGUGGGGAGCAAACAGG